GCCCCGCUGGUGUACCUGGUAUAGCACGCCCCGUAUACGUGUACUUCCACUUAUCACGCUUAGGGAGGAGCUCGUUCGAUUCGGGCGCGGGGCA